rnacentral:tRNA from 1 species
GCGCUGGUGGUAUAAGGCAUAGCAUCGCUACCCGGAAAGCAGUUAAGUGCGGGUUCGAGUCCCGCCUGGUGCA